AGCGCAGGAGCUGCUGCCUCGCACAGGAGCAAGUUACCGUGUUCAGCUAACCUGCAGUAACUUGCUCCUGUGAGAGACAGCGGCUCCUGGCU
rfam:Balearica pavonina gibbericeps contig101558, whole genome shotgun sequence.